CCUACGGGGGGCAGCAGUGGGGAAUAUUGGGCAAUGGAGGCAACUCUGACCCAGCAAUGCCGCGUGAGUGAUGAAGGUAAUGUUAUUGUAAAGCUCUUUUCUUGGGAACGAAGAAAUGACGGUACCAAAGGAAUAAGCCCCGGCUAACCACGUGCCAGCAGCCGCGGUAAUACGUAGGGGGCAAGCGUUGUUCGGAAUGACUGGGCGUAAAGGGUGUGUAGGGGGUUUGCUAAGUUAGAUGGGUAAUACCCAGGGCUUAACGCGGGUGCUGCAUCUCAAACGGUUAGACUUGCGUACUGGGGAGGCUAGUGGCCUUCCUCGUGUAGCGGUUGAAUGCGUAGAUAUUAGGAG
rnacentral:rRNA from 1 species